rnacentral:rRNA from 1 species
ACGAACGCUGGCGGCGUGCUUAACCCAUGCAAGUCGCACGGAAAGGCCCUGCUUUUGUGGGGUGCUCGAGUGGCGAACGGGUGAGUAACACGUGAGUAACCUGCCCUUGACUUUGGGAUAACUUCAGGAAACUGGGGCUAAUACCGGAUAGGAGCUCCUGCUGCAUGGUGGGGGUUGGAAAGUUUCGGCGGUUGGGGAUGGACUCGCGGCUUAUCAGCUUGUUGGUGGGGUAGUGGCUUACCAAGGCUUUGACGGGUAGCCGGCCUGAGAGGGUGACCGGCAAAAUUGGGAAUGAGUUCCGGCGCAGACGACUACGGGCGGGGGGAGGUGGGAAGUAUGAAGAAGGGGCGGAAGCCUGAUGCCGCCGCGCCGGGGGCGGGAUGGGGGCCUUCGGGUUGUAAACCGUUUUCGCCUGUGAAGAAGGUGGAGUGACGGUAAUGGGUAAAGGAGCACCGGCCAACUAAGU